rnacentral:tRNA from 1 species
UAGCUCAGGCGGUAGAGUGUUUGCCUCACAUGCAAAAGGCCCUGGAUUCAAUCCCCAG